AUUGAACGCUGGCGGCAGGCCUAACACAUGAAAGUCGAACGAGUGGCGGACGGGUGAGUAAUGUCUGGGAAACUGCCUGAUGGAGGGGGAUAACUACUGGAAACGGUAGCUAAUACCGCAUACCAUCGGAUGUGCCCAGAUGGGAUUAGCUAGUAGGUGUGGUAACGGCUCACCUAGGCGACGAUCCCUAGCUGGUCUGAGAGGAUGACCAGCCAAACUGGAACUGAGAAACGGUCCAGACGCUUACGGGAGGCAGCCGUGGGGAAUAUUGCACAAUGGGCGAAGGCCUGAUGCAGCCAUGCCGCGUGUAUGAAGAAGGCCUUCGGGUUGUAAAGUACUGUCAGCGGGGAGGCGUUACCCGCAGAAGAAGCACCGGCUAACUCCGUGCCAGCAGCCGCGGUAAUAC
rnacentral:rRNA from 1 species